AGUGAACGCUGGCGGUAGGCCUAACACAUGCAAGUCGAACGGCAGCACAGGAGAGCUUGCUCUCUGGGUGGCGAGUGGCGGACGGGUGAGGAAUACAUCGGAAUCUACUUUUUCGUGGGGGAUAACGUAGGGAAACUUACGCUAAUACCGCAUACGACCUACGGGUGAAAGCAGGGGACCUUCGGGCCUCGCGCGAUUGAAUGAGCCGAUGUCGGAUUAGCUAGUUGGCGGGGUAAAGGCCCACCAAGGCGACGAUCCGUAGCUGGUUUGAGAGGAUGAUCAGCCACACUGGAACUGAGACACGGUCCAGACUCCUACGGGAGGCAGCAGUGGGGAGUAUUGGACAAUGGGCGCAAGCCUGAUCCAGCCAUACCGCGUGGGUGAAGAAGGCCUUCGGGUUGUAAAGCCCUUUUGUUGGGAAAGAAAUCCAGCUGGCUAAUACCCGGUUGGGAUGACGGUACCCAAAGAAUAAGCACCGGCUAACUUCGUGCCAGCCGCCGCGGUAA
rnacentral:rRNA from 1 species